GCAAAUCUUGGACUUCAAGUCAGUAUUUAUUCCCUGUGAUUUGCAUCCUUGAUGGAGGCUUUCCAGAGCAGCUGCUACUGACCUCUUAAUAUGGCUGGCAAUAAAUUUUAGGAAGGAAGAACAUUGGCAAAAUCAUGUUAGACAAUGCACUUCACAGCCAGUCAGAGAAAAUUGGAAGAAAUCAUAUUUUAUCAGAACAUUGAUCAAAAUGGAAGCGCUGCAAGAAGAAAAAAAAGGAUGAGAAGACAUUAUACAUGCAAGCCAGAAGGAUAUUUUGAUAUUUUAAAAACAUGUCUCCCAGCCUUCCUGGAUCAAAAGAUUUCAAGUCUCUGCUUUGAACUUUCAUUUCUAUUUAAACUAUUGUAUGAGUCUUUCAUUUUAUACUUUUAAAAAAUCAGGAUUUGCAACAAAAAAUCAGAAUUUUACUUUCUGUGUCACUGUCUGUCAGUACUUCAAGAGACUGAUUUGUCCCUUCAGGGAAUGAUUUUUCCAUUACACAGCUAUAAUGCCUUUAGAUUAAAUAAGGUUCCAUUUCAAAUAACUAAGUAACAAGAGGAAGGUCCAAGCUGUUAAUGGCUCACUUCUGGUAUAACUUCAGGACUAUACAACCUUAGAAUUAAAAUUUUAAAAAAAGAAAGAAAUCAGAAAAUUUCCAGGAGGAUUGAAAGUAGGCAAAAUUUAAUGUUCUUAAAACCCUUAAUUGCACAGUUUUUGCCUCUGCUAAAGACUUACAUAUGCAAGCCUAGCUUCACACAACAGAGGGUAGACCUUAGUAAUGCACUAAAAUCAGCAGUUCAGGCCCUUGAAGGUAGAACAAGAUCUGGUUAAUCCAGGCUUCUCAGCAGCGCUGUUCUUGUACUUAUAAAACUACUCUUACAGUAGUUUUAGCUCUACUGGGGGUAAAUUCUUCUGUUUUCCAUUAAUAUAAAUAAAAGGCAAGCAAAGGCUGGAGAAGUCAGCAAGAGAUGCACUUGGACAAAUCUCAUUAUUGCUCAUCAUUAAUAUAAACAGGAUCCAUUUUGUAUACAGGUGAGCUGUAUUUGACCCACACUAAGAAAACAUAUUUGUUUUGGCAACAAUGUG